UAUAUGUAUGUAUGUGUGUGUGUGUGUGUGUGUACGCGAGGCAGCAACCCGCUGCGUAUCCGCGAGCGUCAAAGUCCAUCGUCCAUUAGCGAGUCGAGGUCGUACCACGUGUCUACUGCUGUUGGUGUAGCUGCUGAUGUUACUGUUGCUGCUGUGCACGGUUCUUGGGUUGAAACGCAAAUUUACCGAGGCAUACAUAUACAUAUAACCCCCGUGGUUUACGCGAAACCUGAAUAAAACAAAAAGAACAACGUGAAACGAGAAAAAAAAAAAAGAAUAAAAAUAAAUAAGAGAAAAAAAGGUAUCGAGAAAAUGAGAUCACGCGAAUUCGCGGCAUUCUUUAAUAAGAAAAGGAAUAUAUCGGACCUAGGGACUCUUGUAAAAAGAAGAAGUAGAAGAAGAAGAAGAAGAGGAAGAAGAAAAAAAAAAAAGGAGUAAAGAGGGGCCCCUUGGGGCAUUCGAUCUCACGCGUCGAUUGUAGCAUGCGGGUUAGUCUCUCGAGCGGGGGAGGAAAAAGAAAAAGAAAUAGAAAGAGAAAGAGAGAGAGAGAGAGAGAGAGAGAGGGAGAGAGAAAGGAAUAGUAGGAUGAAAUGCGAAUAAGACGAAGCUGAGGAAAAUAGGGACGACGGGAUGAGAAAAGGGCUUUGGGCAGCUGUUCCGCGAGUAAGGCCGGGUAUCGUCGAUGCGAAGCGGAGCGGAUCCGUGCACGGCACGGCACGGCACGGAACGGAACGGCACAGCACCCGGGCACGUCGUCGCCGUCCCUUGCGAUGUUGCGUGCGCGUGAUCGUGUGCACACAAAGGGCCAGAACUACUCGCAGCAGCAGCAGCAACAGCAGCAGAGAGUGUGGGACAUAACGCGCGACCCUCCAACACAAGACGAGGAAGGAAGAAGGACAUAGUAACACCAUGAACAGGGGCUACGGGGCUAGAAGGGGCCUAACACAGGGGGAAGGGGAGAACUGAAACGACGGACGCGACUGAUGCCCGACGGAUGCUCAACGACGACGACGACGACGACGGUGUCAGCGAUUUGGCAACGGCUACUUUUAUGACUUUCCAUUCGCGAGAUCCUUUUUCUUCUUAUUCUUAUUUUUAUUCUACGUGUCGCGUGGUCACGUUGUCUUAACGUGCCCGUAAAUGUUGCCGUUGUCCAAUAAAUAUCUAUUAUAAAUA